UACAGAGGCCUCGAGCGUUAGGCGGAAUCACUGGGCUUAAAGCGCGUGUAGGCGGAUCGUUAAGUACCUUGUGAAAUCCCACGGCUCAACCGUGGAACUGCUGGGUAUACUGGCGGUCUUGGGCCAUCUAGGGGUCGCCGGAACAAGCGGUGGAGCGGUGAAAUGCGUAGAUAUCGGGAAGAACACCCGUGGCGAAGGCGGCACUCUGGGACGGUACUGACGCUGAGACGCGAAAGCGUGGGGAGCGAACAGG
rnacentral:rRNA from 1 species